GGCCCAGCCCCCUCGCUGGGCUGGAAGGUGAUAACCGCGAAAAGGAGGGCGACUAGCUCCUCGGCGGAGCUUCAGGUGACAUCACAUCCUCCGAACGGGAACUCGGGCUCGCGGCCGUCCGAAGGGCUCAGCUUCCCUGCUCCGCGUCGCACCGCCUCCUGCGCGCCUCCGGCGGGCGUCUGAACGGGCGCCGAGCCGCGCUGCGGGAGCGCGCCAUGACCUCGCGGGCGACACGGGUGGCCCUGCCGCUGGCCCUGAUGCUCCACGCCGCAGCGGUGCUGGUCCUCGGGGGGAACGAGUUCCGGCUGACGCCGGGCCAGGUGACCACGGCCGUGGGCAAGCAGGUGGACCUGCGCUGCGAGGUGCUGGUGAGCAAGUCGUCGGGCUGCACGUGGCUCUACCAGAGGCGGGAAGCGGCCGCCAGCCCUGUCUUCCUAAUGUACUUGUCCAGUAGCCGGAGCAAGAUAGCCGACUGGCUGGACUCCAGGCACAUCUCGGGCCAAAGGGUCCAGAGCGACGUCUACACCCUCACGCUGCACCGCUUCAGAGAAGAGGAGGAAGGCUACUACUUCUGCUCGGUCGUGGCCAACUCGAUAGUGUACUUCAGCCCCUUCGUGCCGGUCUUCCUGCCAGCGAAGCCCACGACGCCGGUACCACGGCCACCCACGCCGACGCCCCCCAAAGUGUCGCAGCCGGUGUCCCGGCGCCCAGAGACUUGCCGGCCACCGGCCAGCAGCACAGUGGAAACGAAAGGGAAACACUUCGCUUGUGUUAUCUACAUAUGGGCUCCACUGGCUGGCCUCUGCGCGGUCCUUCUUCUGUCCCUGGUCAUCACCGCCACCUGCAGCUACAGAAACCGAAGACGCGUUUGCAAAUGUCCCAGGAGCUGAGAAUCGAACUUUUGUUAUCAGCCUCUUUCUCUCACCUCUAUGGGGACCUUGAUAAAGACCCUGGGUUCAGAUCCUGGCUCCACCACCUCCUACUUAUGUGACCUUGGGCACGUUCUCUGACCUCUCAUGGCCAGCACGUACCCCUCAGGUUGCUGUGAGGACUGAACCAGAUGGCACAAGCCCCUGGUCAGACCAACAGGCAAGCCCAGCCCUUCAGAGAGAUACGUCUAAUAUGGCGACGGGCCCUGCGCAACAGCCACUACAAGACUUCAAACUGAGAACUCUCCUCACAAGGAGGGCAACAGUCCUUCCCCUUUGGUUUUUUUCAGCCUUCCUUCUUUAUGUAUUCAUUCUCAUUAUUAUUACUUUUUGUUGGGUGGGGGGGUGGAAGGGUUACUCUUUCUUUGUCUUUAAUUGACACAAAACAAAACCAUAUGUCUACAGUACACCAUCGGGCACAUGUAUCAGGGGAAGGGACAGGCUGUGUUCUCAGAGUUAGGCCGUUAGACCUGGUGGGGGCCUCACAACCACCUGGUCCACACCUCGUCCCUGGCCAUCUCACAGAGGAGGAGGCUGAAGUCCAUGGGAGCUCGAUCAGAGUCACAGCAGGGCUGGGGCUCCUCCUCCACACCAUUCAGAUCUCCCUUCUGGAGGCGUCUGUCCCCGAGUGGGGUUCUGUGCCUCAAACCACAAAGGAACCAGUCAUUUCUUGAGCGCCUGCGAUGGACCCACUACUGCACCCAGAGCCGUGAGAAGGUAAUGAAAUAAAAGAACCUCUGCCUUUCACAGAGUUCCGUAAUGUAAUUCUGGAAAAUGAAUACCUCAAUCUCUAAAGAAAACCUCUCUGACAUCCCUAAGUGGAGGUGAAAUUGUUCUCCCAGUCCUUCAUUGCAGAGGGACCCAUGAAAGAGGAGAGACCAUCCUUUUACAAAUAUGAUUGGAGCAUUGAUAAAGUUGAAUGGAAAUCUUUUUGGAUCUCAAAACUUCAGAUGCCAUAUUUGAACAUGCUCCUGGGACCACUGAUGACUUUUUAGUUUGUAAAGGCAGAAUUGUCAGAGAGCUGCCAGCACCGCCCCGGCCUCCUCUCAGUCAGGUGGGGAUGUGGCAGAUCAGACUCUGCCCUGGUGAGGAGGGGCGGAGUCAGUUUGCCUGAAGGGUUGCCCCCCACAUGCACCUCCUCCCCUACGGUGGUGUACUAGAAAUGUGUUCUCACUGGAAGAAAAACAUUUAACUAGAUAAGGAAAUAAGAAUCAUCUAUAAUUCUUUGCCCCCAGUAUAACCCACUGUUAAUAUUAUGGUAUACAUCUUCAGAUGAUUUUCUAUGCAUAUAUGUAAAAUAUAUUCUUUGUUUUUUCAAUGGAAUUGCAUUAUGCUUUUUAUAAGUGGCUUUAAUAAACAAACAUUUAUGGCA